rnacentral:rRNA from 1 species
GAUGAACGCUGGCGGCGUGCUUAACACAUGCAAGUCGAACGAUGAAGCCCAGCUUGCUGGGUGGAUUAGUGGCGAACGGGUGAGUAAUACGUGAGUAACCUGCCCUUAACUCUGGGAUAAGCCUGGGAAACUGGGUCUAAUACCGGAUAGGAGCGUCCACCGCAUGGUGGGUGUUGGAAAGAUUUAUCGGUUUUGGAUGGACUCGCGGCCUAUCAGCUUGUUGGUGAGGUAAUGGCUCACCAAGGCGACGACGGGUAGCCGGCCUGAGAGGGUGACCGGCCACACUGGGACUGAGACACGGCCCAGACUCCUACGGGAGGCAGCAGUGGGGAAUAUUGCACGAUGGGCGCAAGCCUGAUGCAGCGACGCCGCGUGAGGGAUGACGGCCUUCGGGUUGUAAACCUCUUUCAGUAGGGAAGAAGCGAAAGUGACGGUACCUGCAGAAGAAGCACCGGCUAACUACGUG